rnacentral:rRNA from 1 species
AAUGAACGUUGGCGGCAGGCUUAACACAUGCAAGUCGAACGAAAGUUACUUUCGGUAGCGGAUUCGUGGCGGACGGGUGAGUAUAACAUAGAAAUCUACCGUGCUCUGGGGGAGUAACAGUUGGAAACGACUGAUAAUACCGCAUACGCCAUAUUGGGAACCUACGGGGGAGCACGAUGAGUCUAUGCCAGAUUAGCUAGUUGGUGGGGUAAUGGCUUACCAAGGCGACGAUCUGUAGC